UAGUGGCGAACGGGUGAGUAACACGUGGGCAAUCUGCCCUUCACUCUGANGACAAGCCCUGGAAACGGGGUCUAAUACCGGAUAACACUCUGUCCCGCAUGGGACGGGGUUAAAAGCUCCGGCGGUGCGGGAUGAGCCCGCGGCCUAUCAGCUUGUUGGUGGGGUGAUGGCCUACCAAGGCGACGACGGGUAGCCGGCCUGAGAGGGCGACCGGCCACACUGGGACUGAGACACGGCCCAGACUCCUACGGGAGGCAGCAGUGGGGAAUAUUGCACAAUGGGCGAAAGCCUGAUGCAGCGACGCCGCGUGAGGGAUGACGGCCUUCGGGUUGUAAACCUCUUUCAGCAGGGAAGAAGCGAGAGUGACGGUACCUGCAGAAGAAGCGCCGGCUAACUACGUGCCAGCAGCCGCGGUAAUACGUAGGGCGCAAGCGUUGUCCGGAAUUAUUGGGCGUAAAGAGCUCGUAGGCGGCUUGUUGCGUCGGUUGUGAAAGCCCGGGGCUUAACCCCGGGUCUGCAGUCGAUACGGGCAGGCUAGAGUGUGGUAGGGGAGAUCGGAAUUCCU
rnacentral:rRNA from 1 species